rnacentral:misc_RNA from 1 species
AACGCACAUUGCGCCCUUUGGUAUUCCUUAGGGCAUGCCUGUUCGAGCGUCAUUUACAAAUUCAAGCUCAGCUUGGUGAUGGGUGUCUGUCCCGCCUUUGCGUGUGGACUCGCCUCAAAUGCAGUUGGCAGCUUGUUCCUCGGCUCUAAACGCAGCAGAUUUGCGUCGAGCGUCGGGUGGACGAACUCUCCAGUAAGCAAAACCCUACAAAUUGACCUCGGAUCAGGUAGGGAUACCCGCUGAACUUAA